rnacentral:lncRNA from 1 species
GAGAAAUCCAACCACCACUGAAACAUCAGAGAUGUACUACACAAUAGUCACAUAUGUGCCCACCAGCAUAUUGCAUCUUGCCAGAAAAGGUAUCAAUUCCAUUUCAGAAAAGAUAUUGAUAUACAGUUACAAAAAUCUGGUUGUCCCAAAGGUUCUAGACAGGCAUGAAAGAGAAUAGAAACGAUACGCACUCAGACACAAAUGAUACGGCACCAUGGAUAGCACAAGCUUUGAUCUGACAUCCAUCGUCUCUCAAACCCACCACCAGCAGCAGCGGCAACAAGGAUGCAAGUAGAAGACUUGUUGCGUCAGCAGCAGCAGCAGCAGCAGCAGCAGCAGCAAUGAAGGGGCUACACAAGGAGCAUCGGCAAACAUUAUGAUUCCCCAAAUAUAUUGUACAACCUGCGGAAGGAGGAAAUGAAAUGAAGUGUAUAAAUAUAUCGAAAAAUGAAUCACACAGGGGCUGUUAUGUCUGUCAGGGAUUGAUCUUAUGCCUUCAGAUCUAAUACAUUUUGGCCUUCCUAAAUGGUUCAAGAGAUGAUCAUCAUGGGUUAUGAAAAAUCAACACAAAAAAGCAGUCAUGAAAUCUGCUAGCACAUAAAAUGGAGUCAAAGGGACGUAUCAGCUAGGGCAGAGGCAGCGAUAACAGUACACGUGAGCAAAGCAAAUGGGAGCAGAGAAGCAGGGCCAUGCAGCAUAUCCUCCCGUAGGGAGGUUCCAGUCCGAUAAUAUAACAUAAUAAAAGACAAUGUGCAGAAAAGCUGUCUGUUUUAAAGUAUGACCAUGCAAGAGAGUUCGAAUAAUUCCGAGAAUUCUGAAUCACAACAUGGCCCUCAGAUUUCAGUUUCAUCAUAGGCUAAUGCAAUGGGCUUCAAAGCUUGGCACUGGGGCAUGUCUGGGUGAAAUGAAGAGGAGGCAUGGCGAUGGCGGCGACGAGGAGGAGAGGUAGACCUGCAGCAAGAGCCGGCCCAUCACUCAGUGGUAGGGCUUCCGCAGAAGCAACGGCUGAUCCAGACACAUGCCCCAGCGCCCAGAACAGAGAAGCAAGCGCUGCAUUAGCCAUUUCGUGGGCUUCAACCUUGCGAAUGCAAUGGCUGACCCCGUUUCGAGCUCAAAUCUGAGCCAAUCUAUCUAUCCAUCCCCACAUGGGGCUUUAAACAUCAUCAUUGGGCCAAGGGGAAAUCCAUGCAACAAGCGAAAAUAUAGUAAUGGACCAAACAAACUACGAAACUAAAUCCAUACAGAGCUCGAUCAAAACAAAUAAUCAAACCACCAGAAAACUGGAUAAUCGAAAAGGAAAAUAGCCAUAGGAGACUUGUUGUGCCACCAGCAGCAGCAGGAGGAAUGAAGGGGCCACAGGAGGGACCAUCGCAUUAGCAUUCAUUCAAGAGCAGCAAACAGAAAGAUUAUGAUCCCAUACUGUACGGCCCGAGGAAAGAGGAAAUGAAAUGAAUAUACCGAAAAAUGAACCACGCAAGGGUUGUGGCAUCUGUCAGGUAGUAAUCUUAUGCCUUCAGAUCUAGUAAUACAUUUGGCCUUGCAAAAUGGUUCAAGAGAUGGUCAUCACGGGUUAUCAAAAAUCAACAACAAAAGUUGUCAAGAAAUCUGCUAGCCCACAAAAGAGAGUCAAAGGGAUGCAUCAGGUAGGGCAGAGGCAGCGCUAACAGAGAUGGGGAAGGGAUGUUUUAGUGACGUCAUGUCGUCAAUCAAUCAUCAAGGCAAACAGAAGCAGAGCAGGCACGCACCGAUGCACCAUCUCCUCCUCUACCUAGGUAGGUUCCAGUCCACCAUUGCGCGUUAAACGAUAAUACAACACAACAAAGACACGGUGUGUAUACUGAUGGUUUCGUAGCACGCCCAUCAGGAAGAUGGCCCUCAGAUAUCAAGAGUGUCCCAAAUGGAUCGGUAGAAAACCUGAAUAGUACGACCAUUGCAAUGACAAACACAACAGAAGCG